rnacentral:rRNA from 1 species
UACGUAGGGUGCGAGCGUUGUCCGGAAUUACUGGGCGUAAAGAGCUCGUAGGCGGUUUGUCGCGUCGUCUGUGAAAUUCCGGGGCUUAACUCCGGGCGUGCAGGCGAUACGGGCAUAACUUGGGUACUGUAGGGGAGACUGGAAUUCCUGGUGUAGCGGUGAAACGCGCAGAUAUCAGGAGGAACACCGGUGGCGAAGGCGGGUCUCUGGGCAGUAACUGACGCUGAGGAGCGAAAGCAUGGGGAGCGAACAGGAUUAGAUACCCUGGUAGUCAAGGGCGAAUUCGUU